rnacentral:rRNA from 1 species
GAUGAACGCUGGCGGCGUGCUUAACACAUGCAAGUCGAACGAUUAAAGCCCCUUUGGGGGUGUAUAAAGUGGCGAACGGGUGAGUAACACGUGGGCACUCUGCCCCUCACUUCGGGAUAACUCAGGGCAACUUGAGCUAAUACCGGAUACUCCGGGAUGACCGCAUGGUCGACCCGGGAAAGCUCCGACGGUGAGGGAUGAGCCCGCGGCCCAUUAGCUUGUUGGUAGGGUAACGGCCUACCAAGGCGACGACGGGUAGCCGAGGGGGGAGGCUGAUCGGCCACACUGGGACUGAGACACGGCCCAGACUCCUACGGGAGGCAGCAGUGGGGAAUAUUGGACAAUGGGCGCAAGCCUGAUCCAGCCAUGCCGCGUGAGUGAUGAAGGCCUUAGGGUUGUAAAGCUCUUUCACCGAUGAAGAUAAUGACGGUAGUCGGAGAAGAAGCCCCGGCUAACUUCGUGCCAGCCGCCGCCGUAA